rnacentral:snoRNA from 1 species
GGCAGAUGCAAAAAAAAUAAAUUCUCUUUUGCAACCCAGAGCUCAUUGUGUGGUAUGAGCUUUGAUACAUAUAAGAAGGAAUAUU